rnacentral:rRNA from 1 species
GGGCCCGCACAAGCGGUGGAGCAUGUGGUUUAAUUCGAUGCAACGCGAAGAACCUUACCAGGGCUUGACAUACUACGAAUUCUUUUGAAAAAAAAUGAAGUGCCUUCGGGAAUGUAGAUACAGGUGGUGCAUGGCUGUCGUCAGCUCGUGUCGUGAGAUGUUGGGUUAAGUCCCGCAACGAGCGCAACCCUUAUUUUUAGUUACCAAUUCGUUGGGUUCUUUAGAAAGACUGCCGGUGACAAACCGGAGGAAGGUGAGGAUGACGUCAAGUCAGCAUGCCCCUUAUGUCCUGGGCUACACACGUGCUACAAUGGUUAAGACAGACGGCUGCAAACCAGCGAUGGGGAG